rnacentral:tRNA from 1 species
GCCGGAGUGAUGGAACGGCAGACAUAGAGCGCUUAAAACGCUCUGCCCGAAAGGGCGUGGGGGUUCGAGUCCCUCCUCCGGCA